GAAAAUGUACCGUAGACAGUAGGGGGAGAAAUCCUUAAUUAGCCUACCGAGGACAAAAUUCGAAAAGAAACUUAUGUGCCUUUUUGUAUGUUCUCGCAUGCAAAAAGGUUUUUUUAUUG
rnacentral:sRNA from 1 species